ACGCUCGACACCUACGGGAGGCAGCAGUGGGGGGAUAUUGCACAAUGGGGGAAACCCUGAUGCAGCGACGCCGCGUGAAGGAAGAAGGCCUUCGGUGUAACUACUNUCGUCGGCGGAUAGUGACGGUACCGUACAAGAAAGACACGGCAACUACGUGUCAGCAGCCGCGGUAAUCUGNGGCGGGCGGUCGGCGAACGGACG
rnacentral:rRNA from 1 species